rnacentral:miRNA from 1 species
UACUCCAGAGAGUAGCAAUCACG